ACGGGGAGAGUGACCAGUUUGCUUGUCCGGAGCCGCAUUAGUUAACGAAGACCAUUGAAUUAAAAAUUCUGUUUUUAAUCUACGAGAGCUCUCGUGCUCAUUACCGCUGUCAUUACGAGCGGAAAGAAUGGAAUCAAUUUCAUCAACAAAGAUAACGCUACAUGUCUGGCGCUUCGCAACUUCAAAAAGGGCUCGAACCAACUUUUCAGAAUCACCAAGCUAAAUCAAGGUUAGU